AUGAACGCUGGCGGCGUGCCUAAUACCUGCAAGUCGAGCGAACGGACGAGAAGCUUGCUUCUCUGAUGUUAGCGGCGGACGGGUGAGUAACCCGUGGAUAACCUACCUAUAAGACUGGGAUAACUUCGGGAAACCGGAGCUAAUACCGGAUAAUAUUUUGAACCGCAUGGUUCAAAAGUGAAAGACGGUCUUGCUGUCACUUAUAGAUGGAUCCGCGCUGCAUUAGCUAGUUGGUAAGGUAACGGCUUACCAAGGCAAGGAUGCAUAGCCGACCUGAGAGGGGGAUCGGCCACACGGGAACUGAGACACGGUCCAGACUCCUACGGGAGGCAGCAGUAGGGAAUCUUCCGCAAUGGGCGAAAGCCUGACGGAGCAACGCCGCGUGAGUGAUGAAGGUCUUCGGAUCGUAAAACUCUGUUAUUAGGGAAGAACAUAUGUGUAAGUAACUGUGCACAUCUUGACGGUACCUAAUCAGAAAGCCACGGCUAACUACGUG
rnacentral:rRNA from 1 species